AGAUGCGCAGCAGCUCAGCUGUGAUUUGUUUGGAACUAUUUUCGUUGAUGAAAUGGAGCACAAUCAGACAACAGUGUUCCUAAAAUUGAUCUGAAAAUAGAGCUGUGGAUUGCCAAGACAGACUGUCACUGAAAACAAUGAACCUCUGAUUCCUCAUCGAUCGAGAAGAUUCUUGUUCUCAGAAUUUUUAAAGAAGGUGAUUCUCUGAAUUACAACCGUUCAGCAUCAGCGAAGACUCAACAGCACAAUGGCAUACGUCCAGAUGCAUACAAAACAGUUCAGAUGCUGUGAGUGGGGAUCUACUUGAAAAAUGAAGCAAAGAUGGAGAGAGAAAGAAAAUAAGCUUCUCAUUUGACCGUCAAAAUGUGCUUAAAGAGUUCAAAGGAGGUCCAAGGAUCUCAAGUGAAGAGCGACAGCGUUGUUAUGAGGGAAAUGUGCUCCAGUUCAAAUGCAUUAUUAAACACUGGCCUUUGCUUUGGCUCGCUAUUUCUGGUUUCCAAUAAAGAUCAAUGUUUCUCUUUUUAUUGCAUUUUUUCUCUCAACUUUCCUUAUUGCAUAAAACACUAGCUCUCUGCAAUG